UUUCUAGAAACAUGGAAACUGAGCAUGCUGAGAGACUACGUUGUUUCUUCACAUAAAUUGUUGGAUUAAAGAAAAAUGACGAGGAUAAGUUACAUAACAGAUUAUUUUACCAAGGAGGAUAACUCUGUUGGAGAUGUAAAGUACUGCACAAUAAGGGAGGUAACUGAAAUGACCACCAUGUUGGGUCCACCU